AUUGUACCCACUUCCUGGCUAUCACGCUUUUCAGAACCAGUCCCUUAACCUUUAGAGCAGUUCUUCCAGGUGAUUAUUCUUGACUGCUCUGUGAACUGAAGACAAGGACGAGAUUCAGAGAAACAGAGAGGUUGCAUCCAUUUCUCAGGGCCCAGACGGUGACACUAAGGAUGAAGACCUAGCUCUGUUAUCCUUCAGGCUUUAUACCCUUCCUGUACUGGUUCCAAUCCAUAGCAAGAAACCACCCUUGAACAGAGCAGCUGAGCCGUGAGAAGCCAGAAAGCCUGAUGUGGUCCACCCCUUUCCCUGGAAUCACUCCUUUCCAUGUGGGCUGAAUGCCCACGUGCAGCUGUCUGAUCUCAGGAUUUCUAUCAUCCAGAGUCAAAAUGAAAGCCAGGGACGGGGAGGCUACCAUUCAAGCCAUAACGGAAACCACUGUUGUGUGUGCUCAGUUCAAAUCGUUUCCGCAGAUUCUCUGGAAGCUCCAGCGGGGUUGGCCCAGCUCCUGGCUUCCUCUCCUGGCAACAGCCUCAGGUCUUUUUGAUGAAUUGAAUGAGAAGUGGAGCCCUCAGGUCCAGUCCUGAUCCUGCAGGUAAGUGCUCAUGAAGCUUACACAGAACUCAUGUGACCACGAAGCCAAGGUGGCCGAGAGAAGGCAGCUUCCUGGAAUCUCAGCCUUCCACCAGGCCAGGAGCCAGUCUGCUGCUUCUGUCUGCCUGUACCAAGCAUCUCCCUCAGAGGGAGGAGCCAUGGCCCCAGAAGAUGCUAAGCACUAAAGGAGGCCAUAUGCUUCUACCUUACCAGG
rnacentral:lncRNA from 1 species